rnacentral:rRNA from 1 species
AUGGUCUUGAUGGGCAGGUGGUACUUUAGAAGGAUACCUUUCGAUAUUUGGGGUCUAUGCCUGCAAAAGGAUGACGAAAUCGAUGAAGAGAGUGCCAAUGUGGGGCGCCAAGCUUCUGGUGUCCUCUGUGAGAAGAGAGUGCCACAAAAGCUAUCUACGAUGUUGUGUGGUGUAGAAUGUUGUCCAACUAAAAGGCGACGUGUGCAACAGUUUGGUGUAGCAGAAAUGCGCAUGUUGAGAUGGAUAUGUGGCCACACAAGAAAGGAUCGGGUCCGGAAUGAUGAUAUAUGCGAUAGAGUUGGGGUAGCACCAUUAUAA